ACGCGGUGCGGCGCAUUUUUAGAUUAGAUUAGAUGAGUUUAGAUGCGGGUGCAAAUACGCAUGUGCGAUGCUCUCGUUUCGACGUUAUUAAAUGGCGACUCAUGUCGCUGCAUUAGGGCUUUCAAUUAACGACUGAAUACCGUCAGAGUGGAGCGUCUCACUGAACAGAACGGACUUCACGGCGGUUGACGAUGAAUAAUACGAAGUACAUGACACGCGGUUAGUUUUGUUGGAUCUCCUGACGGGAAUCCACGUCAGAACCGAGAAUCCCAUCGGCAGUGAAUGCGGGGAACGGCGCACGCGCGCUGAUGCGCAUCGUUUAUGUUUCAAAGUUAAACUCGAUUGAAAAUCUUUGAACGAUGUUUAGAAAUUUCGCCGGAAGUUCUUUCACUUUCUCGACGUAUUUCUUGUAUGUACGAUCAUCUCAACUGUAACUCAACUUGAUUACUGUGAGAAGUAAUCAAGUUGAGUGUGAACUGUGAGAAGUGAUAACUGAUAAAUAAAUAAUAAAUAAUCAUAAAUAAUGACCGUUGAUUUGGUCUGACUUCCUGGGAAGGUUUCAGAGCAGCUAAUGAACGUAGCUUUUCAAAAUAACGGGAAAAGAACAAGUCAUGGAGCAAAUGACUGCUCAUACUAUUUUAGGUUAUUAAUACGGGGCUGUUGUUCAGCUUGUUUUCAAUCAAGUGUAGCUGAUACACUCAUAAUGCAUGUCCAAAAGAACAGAUGAAGUCUUGUCCUCUCUUUCAGGCAUAUUCCACAUAAGAAAAAAAGAAGAAUCAGGAAAAUCAAAUGAGUCCUGUCGACAACCCACCGAGACAGCAGUGUGACGUGCACCAGGUGGUCUGUGCCACUGUAUCCAGUCUGGAGAAGUGUGCUGCCUGUGUGGGGCCUGUUGCAGCCUUCAAGUGGCAGGGAUACAAAUGCAAAACUUGUUUAAACGCCUGGCAUAAAAUAUGCCUCAGACGAACAAAGACAGACUUCGUCCAUGUGUCAGAGGUACAGUUUGAUGAUGGUUCUGUAGAUGAGCAGUUGCCAGGCAAUGGACCACCACAAAACAUAUCUGAGGAUGACACCGGUCAGUCUGAUGCAGACUUUGUGCCAGACUCUGCGGAAGAAUCUGAAGAUGACAUUCCAGUCAUUUCACCAUCAAAGAAAUUUAAAAAAGCAUUUGCAGAACUAGUUAAUGACCUCAUCAGAACAGAUGAGAGCACCUCAGAUAGGCCCGGGUCCUCUAAAGAUCUGUUGCCUCCUGAAGACCCUGACAGUCCACCACCGAGACCAAACCUGAGUGAAGAAGUGAGUGGAGCAGAGCAAGUGGAAGAAACGACUGCAGCGACGCUAAGUUCUAAAAACUCCUGCUUCAUUUGUGGAAAGUCAGUGAGAAAGAUGGCCCGUCAUCUGCAAACCCACUCAAGCAACUUAGAAGUUUCACAUGCUUUUUCAUUUCCCCCACACUCAAAAGAACGUAAAAAAGUAUUGGACAUGUUGAGGAACAGGGGCAACUUCCAACACAACACAGAGGUUCUACAAACUGGGAAGGGAGAGCUGAAAAUCAAAAGAAAGCCAGAUGGUGACCCAGUGAGAGAACAAUUGAUCCACUGCAUCUAUUGCCAAGGCAUGUUUGUUCGGAAACAUCUGUGGAGGCAUGUAAAGCGAUGUGCCCGUAAGCCAGAGGAUGAAGAACAACGGCCUGGGAGAAGACGAGUACUCGGUACUGCUGCCUCGCUGGAGUCUGCAUCCCAGCAACAGGUCUCCACUGGAGUAUGGAAGCUGUUAACUGCCAUGAACCAGGAUGAGGUCGCCUCAGUUGUGCGUAACGACUUGACCAUCGUUCAGUUCGCACAAUCCCUGGUCAACAAACAUGGACAAGACGCAACAAAAAAUGAAUACAUGAGGCAAAAACUCAGAGAAGUUGGCCGUCUGCUGCUGUGCCUACAGAAGGACUUCUCGGUGGCAAACAUGGAGGACGCCGUAAAACCAUCAAACUUCCCAAAGGUUCUCAACGCAGUGAAAAAAGUCUCUGGGUAUCAGGAGCAAAACAACACAUACAGCACACCGAGUCUUGCGUUAAAAUUAGGACACACACUACACAAAAUUGCAGAUAUCGUUCAUUGCAGGGCUCUUGUGGCAGAAGACGAAGCGCUAAUGAAGUCCACUGACAUGUUCAAGAAGCUGUACACCUCAAAGUGGUCUGAGGUCAUCUCACAUGGGGCCUUGACUACUUUAAGUGAUGCCAAGUACAAUAAGCCCUCCACUUUGCCCUUCACAGAAGAUGUCAAGUUGCUUCAUGGCUACUUGGAAAGGAAUGUGUCAACUGGUGUCAGUAAACUGAAAGAGGUGGCCUCCUGCCAGCACUACAGUGCACUUGCACAGAUCUUGCUGGCCCAAAUCAUCGUCUUCAACCGAAGACGUGCAGGGGAGGUCUCAAAGAUGCUGGUGGAGAGUUUUGAGAGUCGGGAUGAUCAUGAACUGCAUGAGGAUGUGGCACUGGGUUUGUCCAAGCUUGAACAGAGGCUCUGUAGCUACUUCUCCAGAGUGGAGAUCAAAGGGAAACGGGGUCGAAAGGUGGCAGUCCUCCUGACACCAAAAAUGGUCGAUGGCCUUUCUCUGCUUGUGAGCAAACGAGUAGAGUGCCACGUUUGUGCCUCAAAUGCAUUUCUGUUUGCCCGACCGAAAGCCAUGAGCCACUACCGUGGGCAAGAUGCACUCCGUGUUUGUGCUAAUCUAUGUGGCGCGAAGCACCCAGAGCACCUGAGAUCAACUCAGCUCAGGAAGCAUGUGGCGACACUCUCUCAAGUGCUCAACUUGAAACACAACGAACUGGAUCAAGUUGCCGAUUUCCUGGGUCAUGACAUCCGUGUGCACCGUGACUUCUACAGGCUGCCCGUGCCGACAACUCAGCUGGCCAAGAUUUCCAAGUUGCUGCUCACUCUAGAGAAGGGAACGCUGUCCAAGAUUCAAGGCAAGAGUCUGGAUGACAUUGAAAUCCAAGAUGAACUAGACACCAGUGACACCGAGGAGAUGGACGGUGGCAGUGACUCUGGUGAUGAGGCAGAAGUGUCCGGUUCAGGAAGCAGCACCAGCAAAUGCAUGGAUGCUGCGCCAGAGUGUUCAGCCACAGAACAAGUUGGCGACACAGAGGACUUCAGUAAGUCUCGGCUUGUCACUGUGAGUGUUUGCAAUCACAUGGCUCAAGCUAAAACGUUUCAAUUUCGUGUUCAGAUGAAGCACUGGCUCCAGUGACAUCCAGUGUACAAGGGCCAACCCCUGUGUGUGGAGGUGAGGCCAGGCUGACAUCAUGUUGAGGCAAUAUGCUCCACGCUGCAGAGCACUUGCCCUGUCUUCGUCAUCCUUCCACUCCUUCAACACGUCCAUGAGUUUCAGGCACUCUUCCCUCCGCUCAGCACUUCAGGUCCUCCAGUCCUCUUGCCUGAUCUCUGAUCAGGAAACUUUUUCUUUUUCCUCCUUCUUAUUCAUUCACCACCAAGCAGGAGGAUGACUCCUCUGAUCAUCCUUAUUGAGCUCUUAGGGCCUCAACCUCCAUCCAUGAAUGUUCACCAUGUCAUCUUGCACUCAUCCUUUAGUCCCUUCACCUUUAACUCCAGUCAGAACCCGACUCUGCUGCGGAACCAGACUCCGCUCAAACAAGGUCCAGACGGGUGAAGAAGAAGCCCUGGUCAAAGACUGAGGUGGCAGCAGUCAUGCGUCACUUCAGGAAACACAUUGAAGCCGGGAAACUGGCCGGU